GCCUGGUUUCACAGCCCCUCCUGCUUCCACAAGGGCUUUUUCCACAGCAACGUGCAGGCCUGUGUCUCCUCUCCUGCCUGUUCACGGGAGCGCAGGAAUCCCACGUGCAGGCCACACCUCCAGGAUUGGAGAUUGCUUUUCAACAUGAGAUUUGGAUGUGGACACAGAUCCAAACUACAUCACCUACCUCAAGGGACUGUGCAGUGACCACUCUGUUACAAUGCAACCACAUGGAACUCAUUCCUGCUUUCUCUAACCCCAUCAAUUGGAAGGGAACUCUGAUGGGGUAGUAUCAUGGGCCCCAAUGAAUGACUCACUGCAUAGGUCUUCUUUGUUUCUCACUCCCCUUUCACUGGUUUGACAAUCUGCUUGUUGCCACCCCUCUUCUCUCUGAGAUCUAUGAGUAAUAAACUGCUUUUGUUUUUUUCA
rnacentral:lncRNA from 13 species